rnacentral:rRNA from 3 species
CAUAUGCUUGUCUCAAAGAUUAAGCCAUGCAUGUCUCAGUACAAGCCACAUUAAGGUGAAACCGCGAAAGGCUCAUUAAAUCAGUUAUGGUUCCUUAGAUCGUACCCACAUUUACUUGGAUAACUGUGGUAAUUCUAGAGCUAAUACAUGCAAACAGAGUUCCGACCGGAGACGGGAGGAAUGCUUUUAUUAGAUCAAAACCAAUCGGCGGCGGGUUCGCCCGUUCGCCGCUCAAUUUGGUGACUCUGAAUAACUUUCGGCUGAUCGCACGGUCUCGCACCGGCGACGCAUCUUUCAAAUGUCUGCCUUAUCAACUGUCGAUGGUAGGUUCUGCGCCUACCAUGGUCGUAACGGGUAACGGGGAAUCAGGGUUCGAUUCCGGAGAGGGAGCCUGAGAAACGGCUACCACAUCCAAGGAAGGCAGCAGGCGCGCAAAUUACCCACUCCCGGCACGGGGAGGUAGUGACGAAAAAUAACGAUACGGGACUCAUCCGAGGCCCCGUAAUCGGAAUGAGUACACUUUAAAUCCUUUAACGAGGAUCAAUUGGAGGGCAAGUCUGGUGCCAGCAGCCGCGGUAAUUCCAGCUCCAAU